CAGGUGAACUGAGGCAGGUAGAGUGUUGAUACUAUAAAGAUAAUGAUUACUGUCAUUAUUGAUUAAUCUGCUGAUUUUUAUUCUGAUUCAUUGUUUAGUCUGUUAUAGGUGAGAGUGCUGCCUAUUUAGCAUGAUAGAAAGUAACUCUGUCAUCCACUAUGCUCAGCCACGCCCUGUUCACCUUCAACCUCAAAAUGGGGACCGUCUGACUAUUCCUCACAAUGUAUUCACAGUUUUGAAAUCUGCUGCAUUUCUCUCAGAUUUGGGAAGAUGGAUUAUUUGAAGGAAGAGGGGCACAGAUCAAAGCCUUCUAUGUCUAGCUGUCAGCUGACUUUGAAGAGUAAUAAAAAAUCUCCAGUCUUCAGAAAUAAACCUGGACCCUCAGAUGCAAAACAGAGAGCAGAGUCUCCAAUAUCCAGCUGUCUGUCUAUGAAGAGUGACUGGUCAAGACACGAGCCUCUAAAGUUCAGUAAUGAACCUGGACCCUCAGAUGCAAAACAGAGAGCAGAGUCUCCAAUAUCCAGCUGUCUGUCUAUGAAGAGUGACUGGUCAAGACACGAGCCUCUAAAGUUCAGUAAUAAACCUGGACCCUCAGAUGCAAAACAGAGAGCAGAGUCUCCAAUAUCCAGCUGUCUGUCUAUGAAGAGUGACUGGUCAAGACACGAGCCUCUAAAGUUCAGUAAUGAACCUGGACCCUCAGAUGCAAAAGAGAAGAAGAAGAGUCAUGUUUUUGUAGAGGAGCAGUUGUCCUGCUGUGCUUUGUGUCAGGACGUCUUGAAGGAUACCAUCUCUACCAGCUGUGGACACGCGUUCUACAGACACUGCAUCACCUCAUACUGGGACCAGUCUGCUUCAUCAGGAGACUCCUCCUGUCCCCAGUGUAGAGAAAGAUCCAGAACAAGAGCUGGACUGCAGACAGCUACAGACAGUGGUCUGCAGGAGGUUUUGGAUGGACAUAAGGUCAGUCUGAAGAGGAGAUGUGAACGUGUGACUGAAGGAACUGAUGAAAGAGAACGUGAAACCCUCCUCAACAGGAUCUACACUGAGCUCUACAUCACAGAGGGACAGAGUGAAGAGGUAAAUACCCAACAUGAGGUGAAGCAGCUUGAGAGAGCUUCUAAGAUGAAGACCCUCCAUGAAACUCCAAUCAAGUGUCACGACAUCUUUAAAGCCUUACCUGACCAACAGAAACACAUCAGAGUCGUUCUGACAAAUGGUGUUGCUGGCGUUGGAAAAACCUUCACAGUGCAGAAGUUCACUCUGGACUGGGCAGAGGGUUUGGAAAACCAAGAUAUCAGUCUGGUGAUAAUGCUUUCGUUCAGGGAGCUGAACUUGAUCAAAGAUGAGAGGUACAGUCUUCUCACACUGCUCCGUGUUUUCCAUCCAACAUUACAGAAGGUCACAGCAGAGGAGCUCGCUGUCUGUAAAGUUCUGUUCAUCUUUGAAGGCCUGGAUGAAAGCAGACUGUCUCUGGAUUUCAAAAGCAAGAAGGUUGUGACAGAUGUCACAAAGAAGUCAUCAGUCAAUGUGCUGUUGACAAACCUCAUUAAAGGGAAUCUGCUUCCCCCGGCUCUCAUCUGGAUAACAUCCCGACCUGCAGCAGCCUAUCGGAUCCCUCCUGCAUGCAUUGACAGGGUAACAGAAGUACGAGGCUUCACUGACACCCAGAAGGAGGUGUACUUCAGGAGGAGAGUCAGUGAUGAAGAGCGGUCCAGCCGAAUCAUUUCACACAUCAAGACAUCCAGGAGCCUCCACAUCAUGUGUCUAAUCCCAGUCUUCUGCUGGAUCACUGCUACAGUUCUGGAUGACAUGUUGACUACAGAGCAGAGAAGAGAGCUGCCCAAGACCCUGACUGACCUGUACUCACACUUUCUGCUGGUUCAGACAAAGAGGAUGAAGCAGAAGUAUGAUGAGGGACAUAGCAGGGAAGUUCUUCUGAAGCUGGGCAGGCUGGCGUUUAAACAUCUGAAGAAAGGAAACAUCAUGUUCUACCAGGAAGACCUGGAGGAGUGUGGUCUUGAUGUCACAGAGGCCUCUGUGUACUCAGGAGUUUGUACAGAGAUCUUCAAAAAAGAGAGUGUGCUCUUCCACAAAACAGUCUACUGCUUUGUUCAUCUGAGCAUUCAGGAGUUUCUGGCUGCAGUCUACCUGUUCCACUGUUUUACCAACAAGAACACAAAGGUACUGGAGGACUUCCUGGGGAGAGACCGGAUUAAUUACACAUCCCUGGAUGUCUUCUUAAAGAGAGCCAUGGAGAAAUCCCUCCAAAGUGAAAAUGGUCACCUGGAUCUGUUUGUCCGCUUCCUUCAUGGCCUCUCUCUGGAGUCCAACCAGAGACUCUUAGGAGACCUUUUGGGUCGGACAAACAACAGUUCAGAAAUCAUUCAGAGAGCCAUAAACAACCUGAAGGAGAUGAACCUGUAUAAUAUCUCUCCUGACAGAAGCAUCAACAUCUUCCACUGUCUGCUGGAGAUAAACGACCACUCAGUACAUCAGGAGAUCCAAGAGUUCCUGAAGUCAGAGAAAAGAACAGAGAAGAAACUCUCUGAGAUCCACUGCUCAGCUCUGGCCUACAUGCUGCAGAUGUCAGAGGAGGUUCUGGAUGAGUUGGACCUGGAGAAAUACAACACAACACAAGAGGGACGACUGAGACUGAUUCCAGCUGUGAGGAACUGCAGAAAGGUUCGAUUUACUUCAUGUGGAAUCUCAGAGACUCACUGUGAAGUCGUGGCCUCAGCUCUGAAGUCCAGCCCCUCCCAUCUGAGAGAGCUGGACCUGAGUGACAACAGGCUGCAUGAUUCAGGAGUGAAGCAGCUGUGUGCUGGACUGGAGAGUCCAAACUGUAAACUGGAGACUCUGAGACUGUGGGGCUGCAGGUUUUCAGACAUCAGCUGUGCUCAUCUGGCCUCAGCUCUGAAGUCCAACCCUUCCCAUCUGAGAGAGCUGGAGCUGAGUGAAAACAAGCUGCAGGAUUCAGGAGUGAAGCAGCUGUGUGAUUUUCUGGAGAGUCCACACUGUAAACUGGAGACUCUGAGAUUGUGGAAUUGCAGUUUGUCAGCGAUCAGCUGUGAUUCUUUGGCCUCAGCUCUGAAGUCCAACCCCUCCCAUCUGAGAGAGCUGGAGCUGAGUGUCAACAACCUGCAGGAUUCAGGAGUGAAGCUACUGUGUGAUUUUCUAAAGAGUUCACGCUGUAAACUGGAGACUCUGAGACUGAGACGCUGCAGUUUCUCAGCAAUCAGCUGUGGUUCUCUGGUCUCAGCUCUGAAGUCCAACCCCUCCCAUCUGAGAGAGCUGGAACUGAGUGAAAACAAGCUGCAGGAUUCAGGAGUGAAGCUGCUGUGUGAUUUUCUGGAGACUCCACACUGUAAACUGGAGACUCUGAGAUUGAGUGACUUCGGUUUGACAAAGAUUAGCUGUGUCUCUCUGGCCUUAGCUCUGAAGUCCAACCCCUCCCAUCUGAGAGAGCUGGAGCUGAGGUUCAACAACCUGCAGGAUUCAGACGUGAAGCUGCUGUCUGAUCUUGUGAAGAGUCCACACUGUAGACUGGAGACUCUGGAAUGGAAGGAAACUGCAGUUUGAUAAACAGGAUGGUGGAUGUGUUGAGAGGAUCAGCUGUGUCCUGAUGAUCCAGAGACACAGAAAGCUGACUGGACCAUGUUCACUGUGUGAUUCUGUUCGGCCUGCUUGCCCGGCAUCUGCAAACUUAAUGUGUGCUCACCAUAUGUCUGAUCCAGACGUUCAGGAGGUUCCUACCAUGAGGUGUAUUGUCUGCAGAGGUCUCC